UACGUAGGGGGGCUAGCGUUGUCCGGAAUCAUUGGGCGUAAAGCGCGUGUAGGCGGUCCGGUAAGUCCGCUGUGAAAGUCGGGGGCUCAACCCUCGGAUGCCGGUGGAUACUGUCGGGCUUGAGUACGGAAGAGGCGAGUGAAAUUCCUGGUGUAGCGGUGAAAUGCGCAGAUAUCAGGAGGAACACCAAUUGCGAAGGCAGCUCGCUGGGACGUUACUGACGCUGAGACGCGAAAGCGUGGGGAGCAAACAGG
rnacentral:rRNA from 1 species